GAUUGUGCGACAAACUCCGUCCAGAGGGUGGCCCCAUUCUUAGAACUCAUCACUGGGCAAAGUUUGUCGCACAAG
rnacentral:pre_miRNA from 1 species